AUUGAACGCUGGCGGCAUGCUUUACACAUGCAAGUCGAACGGUAACAGGUUAAGCUGACGAGUGGCGAACGGGUGAGUAAUGCAUCGGAACGUGCCCGGUCGUGGGGGAUAACACUUCGAAAGAAGUGCUAAUACCGCAUACGAUCUAAGGAUGAAAGCGGGGGACCGUAAGGCCUCGCGCGAUCGGAGCGGCCGAUGUCCGAUUAGGUAGUUGGUGGGGUAAGGGCCUACCAAGCCGACGAUCUGUAGCUGGUCUGAGAGGACGACCAGCCACACUGGGACUGAGACACGGCCCAGACUCCUACGGGAGGCAGCAGUGGGGAAUUUUGGACAAUGGGCGCAAGCCUGAUCCAGCAAUGCCGCGUGCAGGAAGAAGGCCUUCGGGUUGUAAACUGCUUUUGUACGGAGCGAGAAGGUCCUUUCUAAUACAGGGGGCUCAUGACGGUACCGUAAGAAUAAGCACCGGCUAACUACGUGCCGGCCGCCGCCGUAA
rnacentral:rRNA from 1 species